AUACGGAGGAUCCGAGCGUUAUCCGGAUUUAUUGGGUUUAAAGGGUGCGCAGGCGGCCAUUUAAGUCAGCGGUUAAAUCGUGGGGCUCAACCCCAUUCUGCCGUUGAUACUGGGUGGCUUGAUUGCGGUCGAGGUUGGCGGAAUUCGUUGUGUAGCGGUGAAAUGCAUUGAUAUGACGAAGAACACCGAUUGCGUAGGCAGCUGACCAGACCGCAAAUGACGCUCAUGCACGAAAGUGCGGGGAUCGAACAGGAUUAGAUACCCUGGUAGUCCGCACAGUAAACGAUGAAUACUUGUUUUCGGCGAUAUAAUGUCGGAGGCAAAGCGAAAGCGAUAAGUAUUCCACCUGGGGAGUACGCCGGCAACGGUGAAACUCAAAGGAAUGGACGGGG
rnacentral:rRNA from 1 species